rnacentral:rRNA from 1 species
CCUACGGGAGGCUGCAGUGAGGAAUAUUGGUCAAUGGACGCAAGUCUGAACCAGCCAUGCCGCGUGAAGGAUGAAGGCGUUUGCGUUGUAAACUUCUUUUAUCUGGGAAGCGGUACCAGAGGAAUAAGCACCGGCUAACUCCGUGCCAGCAGCCGCGGUAAUACGGAGGGUGCGAGCGUUAUCCGGAUUUACUGGGUUUAAAGGGUGUGUAGGCGGACUGUUAAGUCAGUGGUGAAAUCCCGGGGCUCAACCCCGGAACUGCCAUUGAUACUAUCAGUCUUGAAUACUGUGGAGGUGAGCGGAAUGUGUCAUGUAGCGGUGAAAUGCUUAGAGAUGACACAGAACACCGAUUGCGAAGGCAGCUCACUACGCGUAUUGACGCUGAGGCACGAAAGCGUGGGGAUCAAACAGGAUUAGAUACCCUAGUAGUC